GACGGACGCUGGCGGCGUGCUUAACACAUGCAAGUCGAACGGAAAGGCCCUGCUUUUGUGGGGUGCUCGAGUGGCGAACGGGUGAGUAACACGUGAGUAACCUGCCCUUGACUUUGGGAUAACUUCAGGAAACUGGGGCUAAUACCGGAUAGGAGCUCCUGCUGCAUGGUGGGGGUUGGAAAGUUUCGGCGGUUGGGGAUGGACUCGCGGCUUAUCAGCUUGUUGGUGGGGUAGUGGCUUACCAAGGCUUUGACGGGUAGCCGGCCUGAGAGGGUGACCGGCCACAUUGGGACUGGGAUACGGCCCAGACUCCUACGGGAGGCAGCAGUGGGGAAUAUUGCACAAUGGGCGGAAGCCUGAUGCAGCAACGCCGCGUGCGGGAUGACGGCCUUCGGGUGGUAAACCGCUUUCGCCUGUGACGAAGCGUGAGUGACGGUAAUGGGUAAAGAAGCACCGGCUAACACGUG
rnacentral:rRNA from 1 species